UACGGAGGGGGCUAGCGUUGUUCGGAAUUACUGGGCGUAAAGCGCACGUAGGCGGAUUUGUUAGUCAGGGGUGAAAUCCCGGGGCUCAACCUCGGAACUGCCUUUGAUACUGCAAGUCUCGAGUCCGGAAGAGGUGAGUGGAAUUCCUAGUGUAGAGGUGAAAUUCGUAGAUAUUAGGAAGAACACCAGUGGCGAAGGCGGCUCACUGGUCCGGUACUGACGCUGAGGUGCGAAAGCGUGGGGAGCAAACAGG
rnacentral:rRNA from 1 species